rnacentral:misc_RNA from 1 species
UUUAAUAUAGUCCGAAUUUCCUCUAUCAAUUUCCAAAAUUGCACCAAUUUUUGAUUGAGUUUUCCAAAAAAAAUGACUAAUAGGAGCUCAACACCAUUGAUUGCCUAAAACUGUUUUUAUUGUCUUUAUUAUGUUGACAUAAACAUUAUAUAAGGUCAAUGAUAAAAAUUUCGAGAUAUUUUAUCUUGAAUCGAUUUUAUGUAUUUUAAAGAUUUUUCCAAUCGCGUGCCAGCCACUGAUACAAAUUUAUAGACGAGUAAAUACAACCAUAAAAUAUGUAAAAUGAUAGGAAAAAACAUAUAGAAACUUAACUUUUGCAAUUAUAUUGCAACAAAAACUUUUUAAGAG